AACCAUAUUUCUUGCCCGGAAUAGGGAUACAAAUUUUGAGCAGUAACAUCGAUACGUCGAUGUUUCGAUGCAUCCGAGAAAAGAACAUCGAGGCUAAAAUACAUCACCAGAGAAA